rnacentral:tRNA from 2 species
UAUAUUUUGGUGUAAAAGCACACAAAGUUUUGAUCUUUGCGGGAAUGGUGUAAUUCCGUUAAAUAUAA